rnacentral:tRNA from 1 species
CGCUUGGUGGUCUAGUGGGUGAGACUCUGUGCUCCCAAUGCAGGGGGUCCAGGUUUGAUUCCUGGUCAGGAAA